rnacentral:rRNA from 1 species
GAGAGUUUGAUCCUGGCUCAGAACGAACGCUGGCGGCAUGCCUAACACAUGCAAGUCGAACGAAGGCUUCGGCCUUAGUGGCGCACGGGUGCGUAACGCGUGGGAAUCUGCCCUUAGGUUCGGAAUAACAGCUGGAAACGGCUGCUAAUACCGGAUGAUAUCGCGAGAUCAAAGAUUUAUCGCCUGAGGAUGAGCCCGCGUUGGAUUAGGUAGUUGGUGGGGUAAAGGCCUACCAAGCCGACGAUCCAUAGCUGGUCUGAGAGGAUGAUCAGCCACACUGGGACUGAGACACGGCCCAGACUCCUACGGGAGGCAGCAGUGGGGAGUAUUGGACAAUGGGCGAAAGCCUGAUCCAGCAAUGCCGCGUGAGUGAUGAAGGCCCUAGGGUUGUAAAGCUCUUUUACCCGAGAAGAUAAUGACUGUACCGGGAGAAUAAGCCCCGGCUAACUCCGUGCCAGCAGCCGCGGUAAUACGGAGGGGGCUAGCGUUGUUCGGAAUUA